rnacentral:piRNA from 1 species
UAAAUUCUUCCUAAAUAUUCC